CGAAUGGCUCAUUAAAUCAGUUAUCGUUUAUUUGAUAGUACCUUACUACUUGGAUAACCGUGGUAAUUCUAGAGCUAAUACAUGCUAAAAACCCCGACUUCGGGAGGGGUGUAUUUAUUAGAUAAAAAACCAAUGCCCUUCGGGGCUCUUUGGUGAUUCAUGAUAACUUAACGGAUCGCAUGGCCUUGCGCCGGCGACGGUUCAUUCAAAUUUCUGCCCUAUCAACUUUCGAUGGUAAGGUAUUGGCUUACCAUGGUUUCAACGGGUAACGGGGAAUUAGGGUUCGAUUCCGGAGAGGGAGCCUGAGAAACGGCUACCACAUCCAAGGAAGGCAGCAGGCGCGCAAAUUACCCAAUCCCGACUCGGGGAGGUAGUGACAAUAAAUACUGAUACAGGGCUCUUUUGGGUCUUGUAAUCGGAAUGAGUACAAUUUAAACCCCUUAACGAGGAACAAUUGGAGGGCAAGUCUGGUGCCAGCAGCCGCGGUAAUUCCAGCUCCAAUAGCGUAUAUUAAAGUUGUUGCAGUUAAAAAGCUCGUAGUUGAACCUUGGGCCUGGCUGGCCGGUCCGCCUCACCGCGUGUACUGGUCCGGCCGGGCCUUUCCUUCUGGAGAGCCGCAUGCCCUUCACUGGGUGUGUCGGGGAACCAGGACUUUUACUUUGAAAAAAUUAGAGUGUUCAAAGCAGGCCUUUGCUCGAAUACGUUAGCAUGGAAUAAUAGAAUAGGACGUGCGGUCCUAUUUUGUUGGUUUCUAGGACCGCCGUAAUGAUUAAUAGGGAUAGUCGGGGGCAUCAGUAUUCAAUUGUCAGAGGUGAAAUUCUUGGAUUUAUUGAAGACUAACUACUGCGAAAGCAUUUGCCAAGGAUGUUUUCAUUAAUCAGUGAACGAAAGUUAGGGGAUCGAAGACGAUCAGAUACCGUCGUAGUCUUAACCGUAAACUAUGCCGACUAGGGAUCGGGCGAUGUUUCUAUCUUGACUCGCUCGGCACCUUACGAGAAAUCAUA
rnacentral:rRNA from 1 species